GAUGAACGCUAGCGGCAGGCCUAACACAUGCAAGUCGAGGGGCAUCAUGGCGUAGCAAUACGCUGAUGGCGACCGGCGCACGGGUGCGUAACGCGUAUGGAACCUACCCACCGCAGGGGGAUAACCCGCCGAAAGGCGGACUAAUACCCCAUGGUUCCCCGACCCUGCCUGGGGUUGGGGGUAAAGCCUACGGGCGGCGGUGGAUGGCCCUGCGUGCCAUUAGCUGGCUGGUGGGGUAACGGCCCACCAGGGCGACGAUGGCUAGGGGGUCUGAGAGGAAGGCCCCCCACACUGGGACUGAGACACGGCCCAGACUCCUACGGGAGGCAGCAGUGAGGAAUAUUGGACAAUGGAUGGAAAUCUGAUCCAGCCAUGCCGCGUGCAGGAAGACAGCCCUAUGGGUUGUAAACUGCUUUUAUAUGGGAGCAAUAAGGUCUACGUGUAGACUGAUGAGAGUACCAUAUGAAUAAGCAUCGGCUAACUCCGUG
rnacentral:rRNA from 1 species